GUGGGGAAUAUUGCACAAUGGGCGCAAGCCUGAUGCAGCAACGCCGCGUGAGGGACGACGGCCUUCGGGUUGUAAACCUCUUUUAGCAGGGAAGAAGCGAAAGUGACGGUACCUGCAGAAAAAGCACCGGCUAACUACGUGCCAGCAGCCGCGGUAAUACGUAUGGUGCAAGCGUUGUCCGGAAUUAUUGGGCGUAAAGAGCUCGUAGGCGGUUUGUCGCGUCUGCUGUGAAAACCCGCGGCUCAACCUCGGGCCUGCAGUGGGUACGGGCAGACUAGAGUGCGGUAGGGGAGAUUGGAAUUCCUGGUGUAGCGGUGGAAUGCGCAGAUAUCAGGAGGAACACCGAUGGCGAAGGCAGAUCUCUGGGCCGUAACUGACGCUGAGGAGCGAAAGCGUGGGGAGCGAACAGGAUUAGAAACCCGGGUAGUCC
rnacentral:rRNA from 1 species